GAUCAUUGGCUACACGUCAAAAAUACAUUUCUUUCGGAUCUAGUCAGUUGGGGCCGAUUACUGGCAGAACUAGUUCUUUUGGGUCUAGUCAAUCAGGGCUGAUCGCUGACACAUGCUGAUGCAUCACAUGUAUAUAUUUCAGAACUAGUCUCUUUGCUAUGUUAUGGGACUAAUCAUGAUCGUCUGAAUCAGAGCUAGUUUCUUUCGGGCCGAGCCAGUCGGGACUGAUCACUGGCACA
rnacentral:lncRNA from 1 species